rnacentral:rRNA from 1 species
GACGAACGCUGGCGGCGUGCCUAAUACAUGCAAGUAGAACGCACAGUUUAUACCGUAGCUUGCUACACCAUAGACUGUGAGUUGCGAACGGGUGAGUAACGCGUAGGUAACCUGCCUGGUAGCGGGGGAUAACUAUUGGAAACGAUAGCUAAUACCGCAUAAUAUUAAUUAUUGCAUGAUAAUUGAUUGAAAGGUGCAAAUGCAUCACUACCAGAUGGACCUGCGUUGUAUUAGCUAGUAGGUGAGGUAACGGCUCACCUAGGCGACGAUACAUAGCCGACCUGAGAGGGUGAUCGGCCACACUGGGACUGAGACACGGCCCAGACUCCUACGGGAGGCAGCAGUAGGGAAUCUUCGGCAAUGGACGAAAGUCUGACCGAGCAACGCCGCGUGAGUGAAGAAGGUUUUCGGAUCGUAAAGCUCUGUUGUAAGAGAAGAACGGGUGUGAGAGUGGAAAGUUCACACUGUGACGGUAUCUUACCAGAAAGGGACGGCUAACUACGUGCCAGCAGCCGCGGUAAUACGUAGGUCCCGAGCGUUGUCCGGAUUUAUUGGGCGUAAAGCGAGCGCAGGCGGUUAAAUAAGUCUGAAUUAAAGGCUGUGGCUUUAACCAUAGUACGCUUUGGAAACCGUUAACUUGAGUGCAAAACGCGACUAUGGAAAUUUCUUCUUUUUGCUGGAGU